rnacentral:rRNA from 1 species
GAUGAACGCUAGCGGCAGGCCUAAUACAUGCAAGUCGGACGGGAUCGGGGAGCUUGCUCCCCGUGAGAGUGGCGCACGGGUGCGUAACACGUAUGUAACCUACCUUUAUCAGGGGGAUAGCCUCUCGAAAGAGAGAUUAACACCGUAUAACAUCACAGGAUAGCAUUAUCGAGUGAUCAAAUAUUCAUAGGAUAAAGAUGGGCAUGCGGGACAUUAGCUAGUUGGCGGGGUAACGGCCCACCAAGGCGACGAUGUCUAGGGGAUCUGAGAGGAUGACCCCCCACACUGGUACUGAGACACGGACCAGACUCCUACGGGAGGCAGCAGUAAGGAAUAUUGGUCAAUGGACGCAAGUCUGAACCAGCCAUGCCGCGUGCAGGAGGGCGGCCCUACGGGUUGUAAACUGCUUUUGUACCGGAAUAAACCCUUUUACGUGUAAGAGGCUGAAUGUACGGUAAGAAUAAGGAUCGGCUAACUCCGUGCCAGCCGCCGCCGUAA